rnacentral:rRNA from 1 species
CCUAAUACAUGCAAGUCGAGGGAGAAAUUAGGUGCUUGCACUUGAUGGGAACCGGCGAACGGGUGCGUAACACGUAUGCAACCUACCUAUAACUGGGGGAUAGCCCGAAGAAAUUCGGAUUAAUACCCUAUAACAUUUAGUCAUCGCAUGAUGAUUAUCUUAAAACUCCGGUGGUUAUAGAUGGGCAUGCGGCCUAUUAGUUUGUUGGUGAGGUAAUGGCUCACCAAGACUACGAUAGGUAGGGGGUCUGAGAGGAUGAUCCCCCACACUGGUACUGAGACACGGACCAGACUCCUACGGGAGGCAGCAGUAGGGAAUAUUGGACAAUGGACGAAAGUCUGAUCCAGCCAUGCCGCGUGCAGGAUGACGGCCCUAUGGGUUGUAAACUGCUUUUAUAUAGGAAGAAACCUUUCCACGUGUGGAAAGCUGACGGUGCUAUACGAAUAAGGACCGGCUAACUCCGUGCCAGCAGCCGCGGUAAUACGGAGGGUCCAAGCGUUGUCCGGAUUUAUUGGGUUUAAAGGGUACGUAGGCGGAAUUUUAAGUCAGUGGUGAAAGCCUCCAGCUCAACUGGAGAAUUGCCAUUGAAACUGAAGUUCUUGAAUAUGGAUGAGGUGGUUGGAAUAUAACAUGUAGC